GCUGGACCAUGUAUAAGUCUCCUGGAAUGGAGCAUCACAGAGGGUGAGAAUCCCGUCUUUGACAUGGACUGCCAGUGUGUUGUGGUGUGCUCUCAAAGAGUCGAGUUGUUUGGGAAUGCAGCUCUAAAUGGGUGGUAAACUCCAUCUAAAGCUAAAUAUUGGCGAGAGACCGAUAGCGAACAAGUACCGUGAGGGAAAGAUGAAAAGGACUUUGGAAAGAGAGUUAAACAGUAUGUGAAAUUGUUGAAAGGGAAACACUUGAAGUCAGUCAUGUCAGUUGGGGAUCAACCUAGCUGUUUUUGCUGGGUGAAUUUCCUAGUCUGGCAGGCCAACAUCAGUUCUGACUGCUGGAAAAGAGCAGAGGGAAUGUGGCACCUUCGGGUGUGUUAUAGCCCUCUGUCAUGUGUGGCAGUUGGGACUGAGGGAUACAGCGUGCCGCAAGGCAAGGUUUUUUGACCAUGUUCACGCUUAGGAUGUUGGCUUUUAAUGGCUUCAAUUGACCCGUCUUGAAACACGGACCAAGGAGUCUAACAUGCCUGCGAGUGUUUGGGUGGUGAAAACCCUUGUGCACAAUGAAAGUGAAAGUUGAGAUCCCUGUCAUGGGGAGCAUCGACGCCCAGACCUGAGCUUUCAGCAAUGGAUCUGCGGUAGAGCAUGCAUGUUGGGACCCGAAAGAUGGUGAACUAUGCCUGAAUAGGGCGAAGCCAGUA
rnacentral:rRNA from 1 species